CAAAGGUUAUGUAAUAUUAAUAGUGAUUUAAAGAAUAUUGUAGAGAGCAAAUACUUUGGUCAAUUUCAACUUCUUUUUUGGGAAAAUUGUGAGUUACUUGAAAAAAGUGCAAGGCUGCCAAUAAGAUCCUGUAUAUUGCUACUGACCCUGGACCUAACCCUGUAUAUAGCUACUGACCCUUGAACUCAUCCUGUAUAUAGCUACUGACCCUGGAACUCACCCUGUAUAUAGCUACUGACCCUGGAACUCACCCUAUAUAUAGCUUACAUAGUUUCUUGUGUUCUUAUUUUUGUUAUACUUUACUUUAAAAAAUAAAUAAUACUACUGAUAUUGAUUACUGCACUGUUGGGAAAAACCCUGCAAGGCAUUUCACUGUACUUGUGCAUGUGACAAUAUAAACUUGAUUAGAAAAGGGUAGAGGAGGAGAAGAUGAGGAGGUAGAGAAGAUGAGGAGGAAUAGAGAGAAGCUGAGGAGGUGGAAUAAAGAAGAUGAAGAGAAAUAGAGAGAAGAUGAGGAUUAGAGUGAAGAUGAUGAGGAGGUGGAGAGGAGGAAAAGAGAGAAGAUGAGGAGGAAUAGAGAGAAGAUGAGGUGGAGAGGAGGAAUAGAGAAGAUGAGGUGGAGAGGAGGAAUAGAGAGAAGAUGAGGAGGAAUAGAGAGAAGAUGAGGAGGAGGAGAGGAAGAAUAGAGAGAGAUGAGGGGGAGAAGAGGAGGAAUAGAGAGAAGAUUAGGUGGAUACGAGGAAUAGAGAGAGAUGAAGAGGUGGAGAUGGGGGAAUAGAGAGAGAUGAGGUGGAGAGGAGAGUAGAAAUAGAGAGAAGAUGAGAAGGGGGAGAGUAGGAAUAGAGAAUAUGAGGAGGGAUAGAGAGAAGAUGGAGAGGAGGAAUAGAGAGAAGAUGAAGAAUAGAGAAAAUGAGGAGGUGGAGAGAGAUGGAGAGGAGGAAUAGAGAGAAGAUGAGGAGGAAUAGAGAGAAGAUGAGGUGGAGGGGAGGAAAAGAGAAGAUGAGGUGAAGGGGAGGAAUAUAGAAGAUGUGGAGGGUUAGAGGAGGAAUAGAGAGAAGAUGAGGUGGAGAGGAGGAAUAUAGAGAAGAUGAGGAGGAGGAAUAGAGAGAAGAUGAGGUGGAGAGAGAAGAUGAGGAGGAAUAGAGACGAUGAGGAGGUGGAGGAAUAGAGAAGAUGAGGAGGGGGAGAGGAGGAAUAGAGAGAAGAUGAGGUGGAGAGGAGAAAUGGAGAGAAAAUGAGGAGGUGGAGAGGAGGAAUAAAGAAUAUAAGAAGGGAUAGAGAUAAGAUGAGGUGGGGGACAGGUGGAAGAGAGAAGAUGAGGAGGUGGAGAGAGAAGAGGGGGAGAGGAGGAAUAGAGAGAAGUUGAGGGGGAGAUGAGGAAUAGAGACAUGAUGAGGAGGUAGAGAAGAGGAAUAGAGUAGAUGAGGAGGUGGAGAGGGGUAAUGGAGAGAAUAUGAUGAGUAAUAGAGAGAAGAUGAGGAGGUGGACAGGAGGAAUAGAAAGAAGAUGAGGUGGAGAGGAUGAAGAGGUGGAGAGUAGGAAUAGAGAAUAUGAGGAGGGAUAGAGAGAAGAUGAGGUGGAGCGUAGGAAUAGAGAGAAGAUGAGGAAGUGGAAUAGCGACGAUGAUGAGAUGGAGGAUUAGAGAAGAUGAGGGGGAACAGAGAGAUGAUGAGGUGAGACGAGGAAUAGAGAGAAGAUGAGGAGGGAUGUGCGAGGUAGUAAUGCAUCAUCAUCAUGACUUACAUUUUAGUCAUUUAGCAGACGCUCUUAUCCAGAGCGACUUACAGUAGUGAAUGCAUACAUUUCAUAAAAAAAUUUUCCC
rnacentral:lncRNA from 1 species